UACGUAGGGGGCAAGCGUUGUCCGGAAUCAUUGGGCGUAAAGAGCGUGUAGGCGGCUCGAUAAGUCCGCUGUGAAAGUCCAGGGCUCAACCCUGGAAGGCCGGUGGAAACUGUCGGGCUAGAGUCCGGAAGAGGAGAGUGGAAUUCCUGGUGUAGCGGUGAAAUGCGCAGAUAUCAGGAAGAACACCCGUGGCGAAGGCGGCUCUCUGGGACGGUACUGACGCUGAGACGCGAAAGCGUGGGGAGCGAACAGG
rnacentral:rRNA from 1 species